UAAGAAAAAUUUCGAAAACGAUUUCAAAAACUCAAUUUUGAUAAAUAUAUUUCAAUUUGUCUUUUCAGGUUGACAAAAGAAGUUUGUUACCCUGCUUGAGACGCAUGCAUGGAAUAAGCUAAUCUACGGCUGACACCGAGUCUGAAUCAUCCUCUUUCAAGAGAUGGAACAACGGUAUCACUUCGUUAGUUCGUUGGAUCAGACGGGUGGCACUAACAGCAGCAGGAACGAAAAGUCCCUACAGUUCAGAAAUGUUUUCCUGCAACGGCGGUCACAUUCCGAUUUCUUUUAUCUUCGAUUUCCCACGAGGGCUUUUUGGUUAUGUUUGAUGAACUUCAACAAACGAUUGCAUGUCUACGGAGGUCUACGGUUUAUAACUCCACUACUCCGGGAAAUCAGCUGGUCGAUGUAUGACAGUUGUUUGGCUCUCGAAGCAAUGGAGCCCGUGUAAGACCGUGUUGGAGGAGCUGGAGGUGAAUGAGAAAUCAUGACCGUUUCUUUUGUAAGUGGGCACCAAAAUGUUCCCCAUGUACAAAAAGGUCAUCAAGUAUCUGAUGGAUAUGUCGACGAUCAAGGAGCACCUGCAAUGGUCUAUAAAUCACAGGAUUUCUUUAAUGAACGUUCUGCUCAUCUUUGACAACUGUGAAAUGGUCAACGAUGACGAUUCGCCGGUGGGCACAGCCGGUCAUAGAAUGUGCCAUCAUGCGUUGGGCUGAACUGACCGAGAAGCCGGCCACGCAACAACCACAACGACAGCAAUCAUCAUAACAGCCGGAUCAACAACACUCCAGCAGUCAACCGUAUCGAUUAAUUUAUAAGAAGUUAGUUUAAACAGUUUGACGUUAAAAAUUUAGGUAGUUAUAUUGAAACUCGGUAAAAUAGUAGAAAACCAAGACCUAAAAUGACCUCCAAAUGUAAAUAAUAGGACUUUUUGAAUAGCUCAUGUAAAAAACUGUAGGCAAAUAGAAUUGUAGCAUUGAGACUACAUAAGAAAAUUCUCAAAAUGAA